AGUAUGUGACUGGAGUUCAGACGUGUGCUCUUCCGAUCUGGAUGAGGCAUGCAAGUCGCACGAAGUAGUUUACUACUUAGUGGCGAAAGGGUUAGUAAUACAUGAGUAACGUACCUCUUUCUUGGGGAUAACGGUUGGAAACGACCGCUAAUACCGGAUGAAGAGAUUUAAGGUAGCUUAGCUUCUUAAAAGUAGGGGACCCCCUCGGGGGCCUUGCGGAAAGAGAGCGGCUCAUGGGAUAUCAGCUAGUUGGUGUGGUAAAAGCGCACCAAGGCUAAGACGUCUAGGCGGACUGAAAGGUUGACCGCCAACACUGGGACUGAGACACUGCCCAGACUCCUACGGGAGGCUGCAGUCGAGAAUCAUUCGCAAUGGGCGAAAGCCUGACGAUGCGACGCCGUGUGGACGAUGAAGGCCUUAGGGUCGUAAAGUCCUUUCGCCAGGGAACAAGAGACAAUAACUAAUAAUUAUUUAUUUGAGCGUACCUGGUAAAGAAGCACUGGCUAACUCCGUGCCAGCAGCUGCGGUAAUACGGAGGGUGCAAGCAUUAAUCGGAUUUAUUAGGUGUAAAGGGCAUGUAGGCGGGCAAUUAAGUCAGAUGUGAAAUUUCGGAGCUCAACUCCGAAGCUGCAUCUGAAACUGGUUGUCUUGAGGAUGGACGGAGAAAACGGAAUUCCAAGUGUAGCGGUGAAAUGCGUAGAUAUUUGGAAGAACACCGGUGGCGAAAGCGGUUUUCUAGUUUAUUCCUGACGCUAAUAUGCGAGAGCAAGGGGAGCAAACAGGAUUAGAUACCCUGGUAGUCCUUGCCGUAAACGAUGCAUACUUGGUGUAGUCGGACUCAACCCCGACUGUGCCGUAGCUAACGCGUUAAGUAUGCCACCUGGGGAGUACGCUCGCAAGGGUGAAACUCAAAGAUCGGAAGAGCGUCGUGUAGGGAAAGAGUGUAGAUCUCGG
rnacentral:rRNA from 1 species